GCCUUCGUGGUGUAGUGGUCGGCACGCUCGACUCGUAACCGUGAGGUUCGAUUCCCGGUGAAGGCG
rnacentral:tRNA from 1 species